AGUCUUAUAUUCAUUUAUAAUGAUAUAAAAUUGCAAAUUUUAAGGAAUAAAUAUUAUUUAUUAAGGCUU